GUUUUUUUUUUCCACACAAACUUCUAUGUAAAUAUUAGAAUGUACUUUUUUGCGGUUAUAUAACGCAAUUAAUAUAACUUUCAACAACGGAUCUCUUGGCUCUCGCAUCGAUGAAGAACGCAGCGAAAUGCGAUACGUAAUGUGAAUUGCAGAAUUCAGUGAAUCAUCGAAUCUUUGAACGCACCUUGCGCCCCUUGGUAUUCCGAGGGGCACACCCGUUUGAGUGUCGUGAAAUUCUCAAAACCUGUUUCUUUGAUCUUUUUGAUCAAGAAAAGGAUUUUGGACUUGGAGGAUAUCAAUGCUUGCUCUGUGAGCUCCUCUUAAAUAAAUUAGUGGGGUCUACUUUGCCGAUCCUUGACGUGAUAAGAUUUAUUCUACGUUUUGGAUUUGUUUUGGCAUUGUCCCUUUUUAAGACACCUGCUUCUAAUUGUCUCAUAGACAAACAAUGGUGCUCUGGUCACCCUGGCCGGGGCCCAUAAUGAAAAACCUUGACCUCAAAUCGGGG
rnacentral:rRNA from 1 species